GGUUGCAAUGAAAAAAUAUAAGAAAACACAAGACUGGUAAUUUUUUGUAUUUUUUUUCAUCGCAACCUGUCAAUAUUUCGUAGUUUAGAAAUUCAAUAUUUCGAAUUUGAAUGCAGUACCAUCAACUCCAAAUCCAGCAACAGCCAACAACCCGUCAAAAAAGGACCACAUAGCAAUUACUGCUCAAACGAACAACAGGAGUUUACGAAUGAUGGACACAUCGGAAAACAUUUCAUCGGCACAUUCUGCCUUAAAACUUAUCUGCCACUAUUUUUACAAGCGGUUGUCUUUCUGAUUUAGAGAAAUCGGAGUCAAGCACAAACGUCAUAUUCUAGCCUUGGUUCCUACCAGUUCCUUGCAUGAAAAUAUCACUGCCUCCACAGUGCUCGUGAUUCCAUUCCAGCAGCAGCAAGCAAUCACUAUACGAGUGCUUAUCGCCAACAUUUCACAGCAAGCUCAGCAGCAGAACCACCUUCAACCAUAACAUCAGAAAAUUAAGAUUUCCUCCAGACCAUGACCAUCAUACUAAAGGUCGGUAGCAAUAACGUUCAACCGACGGUACAACCUGGUCAGCAACCGCAAUUAGUGCAAUAGAUCCAAGCCAAAUAUAGACCAUUGACCAACUGCAAAAAAGAUAGCAACAGCGCAUUCAAACACAGUAGCAGCAGCAUACUAUACUGUACCAUGCGGUGCGCAGGAGGACUUUUUUAUUCAGUUGGUGCGGCAAGGUGUGACAUUUUUAUUACCUUUUUUAUUUCGAAAGGAUCAGUACCGUGUUUAGUACAUUGUAAUAUCGAACACCAACAACAUAAUAUCAUGGCAAUCACCCAGCAAGAGAACGCAGUGAUAAUGGGCCAACAGAAAACACAACAUCAAGAUGCUCGGAAAGGACUUUCUCUUUCGAACAAACAUAAUGGCACGUCAUGUUCAAUUGGCUAACCGUUUGGAAUAAGCGCUCAUCAUCGGUUUCAUGGCAGGAAAGUGAGCAGGCAAAAGAAGGCAUCAUUUUUUCCGCAAGGUCGCUCUGGUCAAAAUUUCAGCGAAUUGUAAGGAAUAAACCGCCCGAGGGACAGUACCCGUGCUGAUUCAGGACGAUUUCCCAUACUUUGUACCUUGCUAUUGAAUUUCAAUACCCGAUCGAAACGAUGGCAAGCGCUGCCGAUAACUGGGUCAAAAAGACGACGGAUCAAGAAAUUUCUGCACUCGGUUAACGAACUGAGUACAUAUCACCAAGGAUAAGGAUUCAGAGCCGGCGGCUGGCAGUCCAGAGAAAGAGAAUGCGGAAAAACCUAGUCCACCGGCAGUAGAACCAAAGCUGCACCUGAUGUUUGGAGUUCGGUAGCUACGGAAAUUCUGACUCUACAAGCUGCAAGAGAAAAUGGAGAAACAGCUUCCUCCGCGGAAGGCAUUCACCCGGCGGAUGCAAGUUUGCUAAUGAAAGAUGUUCGCUAAGGUCUAGUAGAAUCAAAGCUGGAUCUGGAGGUGCAGCGGAAGGAUUCUUCUUCGCCGAUUGGUUGGUUAAAACUUUCGAAGCUUUGCACAUGAAGCCGGAAUUACUACAGGGAGUCUAUGCGAUGGGUUUCAACGCCCCUUCCAAGAUUCAGGAGAUGGCUCUACCUACUCUGUUGGCCGGUCUGCCACGGAAUAUAAUCGCUCAGUCAGUCGGGAAUAGGAAAAACCGUUGCCUUCGUGCUGGCAAUGCUCAGUUGAGUCCAUCAGUUGAAAAACUAUCUGCAGGUGAUUUGCCUUUCCCCCACGUAUGAGCUGGCAAUUCAGUAGGGGAAGUAGCUGCCAAAAUGGCAAAGUUUUGUCCGGAAAUCAAACUUCCUUACGCCGUUCGCGGUGAGGAGACCGUCAAAGGGGCGAAGCUGACUAAUCAUAUCAUCAUCGGAACACCCGGCAAGCUAAUGGACUGGGGUAUAAAGUUCAGGACGUACGACCUAGUUUCCCCUUUUUGUACUGGACGAGGCGGGUGUUAUGGUCGGUGUUAUUCUUGGCCACGUACGAGCGCGAGGUGAUGGAGUUUGCCGAGUACAUCGUACCCAAUCCGAUCGUCAUUCGACAGGCGCGGGAGCAAGAAUCAUUCGAUAACAUCAAACAAUACUACCUCAAGUUCCGCAUCCAGGACGAGAAGUUGUGUGAUUACCGUUGGACAAGCGAUCAUUUUCUGUCAUAUGAUCUAUAGGACAAUUGUAAACUCCAAGUAAACUUAUUUUCAGAACUGUUAAUCGAUCGUUUCGAUUACGUACGCAAAACGGCCGGUUGGUUGACCGGCAGGAUGUCCCAGGAUGGUCACUCGGUGGCGGUACUGUCCGGUGAUCUAACGGUGGAGCAACGGUUGGACGCUCUGGAUCGAUUCCGAACCGGACUAGAGAAGGUACAGAUUAUAACGAACGUUUUGUCCAGAGGUAAGUUCCACCACUUGAUUCUGGCUACAGCACCAGGUUACGGAGAGAUUCCUUUGGCUUAAAUAUCGACGUCGAACAGGUGACCAUUGUCGUCAACUUCGACCUGCCGAUGGAUCAGCAGGGACGAGCCGAUUGCGAAACGUAUCUAUAUCGAAUUAGACGCACCGGUAGAUUCGAACGGAAUCACCAUCAACCUAGUGGGCAGUGAUCGAAGCAUGAUGAUUUGCAGAUCAAUCAAAAAACACUUCCCGAAAAAGAUUCAGUUGCUAGACGCGGAGAACUCGGACGAAAUUGAAAAGAUCGCACCGUAAAGUGUUUUCGACCAGCUACUGGUGAAAGGCGUAGGAGCUUUUUUGGGUCAUACUUGUGUUGAUUCUGAAUUUAUAAUUUUAUUAUAUUUUUUUAUUUUUUUUUCUUCCUUGACCUGACAUAAGGUAUACAAAUGUAAUCUCUGAACUAAAACAUCAGAUGAAUAGCAUUAAGGAAACUUUAGCAGACCUAACAGACUUGAAUUGCAAUGUCCCAGCCUCUACAUCAAUUGUUAAUUCGACUAUCUCAUCACCAUUAUCUUCGACAAAGCUUCGGUAUGGUUCGAAAACAGAUACAGCUUCGAGUAAGACAAUAAGAACGCCUUCUGAGAGAUGCUGGAUCUUUCUUACCAGAAUAAAAAAUACUGUCAGUGAACGAAAAAUUGCCGAGAUGGUUGCUGUUUCAACGGGGAGUGCUAUAGAGACAGUCGUGGUGAAUAAACUAGUACUGCAGUGGAAGAACGUGUUGACGAUGCCUUUCGUUUCGUUUAAAGUUGGCAUUGAUGCCAAUUUGGCGGAGAUUGCGUUAAACCCGUCAACAUGGCCAAAAGGAGUUUGUUUUCGGGAAUUCGUAAAUCGAACGACUGUCUGGGAACCUGCUGGAUAAAAUAUGUAACUAAUUCAUAAAUUUUUGGUUUGUGCAUAAUAAUUCUAUCCGUUUUUUUAAAGAUAUAAUGAUUGUAUGUAUAAGUAAUUAGUAUUUAAGUACAAGUCUGUACGAGCUUGCUCGAAGGCGAUAAAUAAAUAAAA